GAAGACUGACACAGCAGCAGACUGACUGUUUUUCAGUUCUGAUUAGACACUAGUGUUGAGAUGUCUGUCUGUCAUGAUAGCAUGUACUGAGUCGGGGCCAGUACCAGAUAAGCACAUUAAACUGUAAUCCAUAAACGUAAGGUAACAACCGAGACCUAAUGGUGCUGUGACAGCAACGCUGUGAUUGAGUUUGAGACAGUGAAAAUACAUAUGGUAUGUUGUAUCUGAACAGGUUAGCUUACGAGCUAAAGUUACUUAGCACAGAUGAAAGUUAAAACAAAGACGUUUAGCAAACUGUUAAAGCAC